GAUGAACGCUAGCGAUAGGCCUAACACAUGCAAGUCGAGGGGCAUCACAUGAAGUAGCAAUACGGAUGGUGGCGACCGGCGCACGGGUGAGUAACACGUAUGCAACCUGCCUUCAACAAGGGGAUAACCCGUUGAAAGACGGACUAAUACCCUAUAACACAGGGGUCCCGCAUGGGGAUAUUUGUUAAAGGACAACCGGUUGAAGAUGGGCAUGCGUUCCAUUAGCUAGUUGGCGGGGUAAGGGCCCACCAAGGCAACGAUGGAUAGGGGAACUGAGAGGUUUAUCCCCCACACUGGUACUGAGACACGGACCAGACUCCUACGGGAGGCAGCAGUGGGGAAUUUUGGACAAUGGGGGCAACCCUGAUCCAGCCAUGCCGCGUGAGUGAAGAAGGCCUUCGGUUGUAAGACUCUUCGGACGGAAGAAAUACGCCGCCUCUAACACAGGCGGUGGAGUGACGGUACCGUAACGGAAGAAGACGACCGGCUAACUACGUGCCAGCAGCCGCGGUAAGUCAC
rnacentral:rRNA from 1 species